rnacentral:rRNA from 1 species
AGAGUUUGAUCCUGGCUCAGGAUGAACGCUAGCUACAGGCUUAACACAUGCAAGUCGAGGGGCAUCAGGAAGAAAGCUUGCUUUCUUUGCUGGCGACCGGCGCACGGGUGAGUAACACGUAUCCAACCUGCCCUUUACUCGGGGAUAGCCUUUCGAAAGAAAGAUUAAUACCCGAUGGCAUAAUGAUUCCGCAUGGUUUCAUUAUUAAAGGAUUCCGGUAAAGGAUGGGGAUGCGUUCCAUUAGGUUGUUGGUGAGGUAACGGCUCACCAAGCCUUCGAUGGAUAGGGGUUCUGAGAGGAAGGUCCCCCACAUUGGAACUGAGACACGGUCCAAACUCCUACGGGAGGCAGCAGUGAGGAAUAUUGGUCAAUGGGCGCUAGCCUGAACCAGCCAAGUAGCGUGAAGGAUGACUGCCCUAUGGGUUGUAAACUUCUUUUAUAAAGGAAUAAAGUCGGGUAUGCAUACCCGUUUGCAUGUACUUUAUGAAUAAGGAUCGGCUAACUCCGUGCCAGCAGCCGCGGUAAUACGGAGGAUCCGAGCGUUAUCCGGAUUUAUUGGGUUUAAAGGGAGCGUAGGUGGACUGGUAAGUCAGUUGUGAAAGUUUGCGGCUCAACCGUAAAAUUGCAGUUGAUACUGGAUAUCUUGAGUGCAGUUGAGGCAGGCGGAAUUCGUGGUGUAGCGGUGAAAUGCUUAGAUAUCACGAAGAACUCCGAUUGCGAAGGCAGCUCACUGGACUGCAACUGACACUGAUGCUCGAAAGUGUGGGUAUCAAACAGGAUUAGAUACCCUGGUAGUCCACACAGUAAACGAUGAAUACUCGCUGUUUGCGAUAUACAGUAAGCGGCCAAGCGAAAGCAUUAAGUAUUCCACCUGGGGAGUACGCCGGCAACGGUGAAACUCAAAGGAAUUGACGGGGGCCCGCACAAGCGGAGGAACAUGUGGUUUAAUUCGAUGAUACGCGAGGAACCUUACCCGGGCUUAAAUUGCAGAUGAAUUACGGUGAAAGCCGUAAGCCGCAAGGCAUCUGUGAAGGUGCUGCAUGGUUGUCGUCAGCUCGUGCCGUGAGGUGUCGGCUUAAGUGCCAUAACGAGCGCAACCCUUAUCUUCAGUUACUAACAGGUCAUGCUGAGGACUCUGGAGAGACUGCCGUCGUAAGAUGUGAGGAAGGUGGGGAUGACGUCAAAUCAGCACGGCCCUUACGUCCGGGGCUACACACGUGUUACAAUGGGGGGUACAGAAGGCAGCUACCUGGUGACAGGAUGCUAAUCCCAAAAUCCUCUCUCAGUUCGGAUCGAAGUCUGCAACCCGACUUCGUGAAGCUGGAUUCGCUAGUAAUCGCGCAUCAGCCACGGCGCGGUGAAUACGUUCCCGGGCCUUGUACACACCGCCCGUCAAGCCAUGGGAGCCGGGGGUACCUGAAGUACGUAACCGCAAGGAUCGUCCUAGGGUAAAACUGGUGACUGGGGCUAAGUCGUAACAAGGUAGCCGUACCGGAAGGUGCGGCUG